rnacentral:rRNA from 1 species
UGGAGGAAUACCGAUGGCGAAGGCAGCUUCCUGGCAUCAUACUGACACUGAGGCUCGAAAGCGUGGGUAGCAAACAGGAUUAGAUACCUGGUAGUCACGCCGUAAACGAUGUCUACUAGUCGUUGGGGAACUUGAUUCUUAGUGACGCAGCUAACGCAAUAAGUAGACCGCCUGGGGAGUACGGCCGCAAGGUUAAAACUCAAAUGAAUUGACGGGGGCCCGCACNAGCGGUGGAGCAUGUGGUUUANUUCGAUGCAACGCGAAGAACCUUACCUGGUCUUGACAUAUCUAGAAUCCUGCAGAGAUGCGGGAGUGCCUUCGGGAAUUAGAAUACAGGUGCUGCAUGGCUGUCGUCAGCUCGUGUCGUGAGAUGUUGGGUUAAGUCCCGCAACGAGCGCAACCCUUGUCCUUAGUUACCAGCGGGUUAAGCCGGGAACUCUAAGGAUACUGCCAGUGACAAACUGGAGGAAGGCGGGGACGACGUCAAGUCAUCAUGGCCCUUACGACCAGGGCUACACACNUGCUACAAUGGUAGGUACAGAGGGCAGCUACACAGCGAUGUGAUGCGAAUCUCAAAAAGCCUAUCGUAGUCCAGAUUGGAGUCUGCAACUCGACUCCAUGAAGUAGGAAUCGCUAGUAAUCGCGGAUCAGAAUGCCGCGGUGAAUACGUUCCCGGGCCUUGUACACACCGCCCGUCACACCAUGGGAGUUGAUUGCACCAGAAGUGGUUAGCCGA